AGAGGACUGGCACUUUCAGAGACUUCCAGAAACACCUGAAAGAGACCCAGAACCUGACUCCUGUGGCAGAAAGCCUCCCAACGAUGCUCCCUGAUCAAGAUCUCCCUGCUGCUGUGCACACAAGUCCACCCAUCACAGCCCUGAUGCCAUCCAAGGAGCAUGUGGAUGUUCCAGCUCUGUCCCCAGUAGACACUGCCACCACUCCUCUCACUCAGCACCUUCUACCUCUGGCCUCCUCUCCAUUACCAGGCUGGUCAGCACCCUGCUCAGAUCCUGAGUGCUCACCCAACUCCCUCACUGCCUCUCACCAUUCAGAGCACCUGCUUGCAAUGGAAAGACAUUCAUCCCGGGCACUUGCACUUCCUCUCCUCCUCCCACAUCCCCCUGAUCCUGCCACAGCCCCACAACACUCAUGGGACACCGAAGAGAGGCUAG